GAUGAACGCUGGCGGCGUGCCUAAUACAUGCAAGUCGAGCGAACAGAUGAGGAGCUUGCUCCUCUGACAUUAGCGGCGGACGGGUGAGUAACACGUGGAUAACCUACCUAUAAGACUGGGAUAACUUCGGGAAACCGGAGCUAAUACCGGAUAAUAUAUUGAACCGCAUGGUUCAAUAGUGAAAGACGGUUUUGCUGUCACUUAUAGAUGGAUCCGCGCCGCAUUAGCUAGUUGGUAAGGUAACGGCUUACCAAGGCAACGAUGCGUAGCCGACCUGAGAGGGUGAUCGGCCACACUGGAACUGAGACACGGUCCAGACUCCUAAGGGAGGCAGCAGUAGGGAAUCUUCCGCAAUGGGCGAAAGCCUGACGGAGCAACGCCGCGUGAGUGAUGAAGGUCUUCGGAUCGUAAAACUCUGUUAUUAGGGAAGAACAAAUGUGUAAGUAACUAUGCACGUCUUGACGGUACCUAAUCAGAAAGCCACGGCUAACUACGUG
rnacentral:rRNA from 1 species